CCAGAAUUUUCUGAUAAAAUAAUGUCAAAAGCAGAGUGGGAUGGUUCUAAAUUUAUCCCUGAGAAUGUUUCCUAUCAAGAUUUUCUACGUCAUCCUAAUCAAUUCCAAAUGUAACAUUGGGGGUCCAUAUCUCUACUUUUACACUUUCAUAUGCAAAACCAUGGCAGAGGAGCACUAACCAAUGACAAAAUCCUUGAGUGAUUCAUUGCUAUUCUGUCUGAACUUCCGGUGCAUCCAGCCCAGUAACUGCAUCAGAGAGUUUUAGGAGUUAACAACAGCAUGGAAGAUCAUUAUUACUCAGUAUAAUGGAUUUUGGAAUAUAAGCAGCUCUUCCAAGUCUCUAGUAGCCAAAAGUAAGAUGGCUUGAGAGAAACACAGAGAUAAUUACAAGAUUGUGGUUAUCAAGAUCAACUCAUGUGAUUGCUUGCCAGUGGGUCCUCAUUUCUUGAUGUAAGAAGUGAACAUUGCAUAGGUGCAUCCCCAUGGUUUUGUCAAACGGGUUAGGAAUUUCUAUGAUAUGAUCCUGCAUUGUUUACAGCUUUUAAUGAUCAUCCUUUUGAUUCUUAUGCAUCGCGUCUAUGAAAGGUAUAGGUAACCAAUGGUCUAAGAUCAAUUUGGGUACGGUCGCUCAUGAGAGACGCCUAAUCACCUCAAUGUCUAUGGCUUUGUUUCGACAUUUCAAUUGUCAUGUACUGCUGUUUGCCACUAGUACACUGUACUCGUGGCCUAUAGCAAGUUGGAUAUUUUGUUCGCUAAAAGUUUGUAGAAAGAUCCUAAAUAGCGUAGCAUGAGAUGCAAAACAUUUUCCCGUUACCACCAACGGCUCAAAUCGAAUAUAGAUUUGUAAAAGAAUUUAUCACAUGCAUCGUCAAUAAAUUCUGAAAAUUGUUGUCUGAUUUUAGCUGCCCUCUGUGGUGAGUUUUUACUGAAAUAGUCGAUAG